rnacentral:rRNA from 1 species
UAGGUAGGGUCGGGACCGGGGUACGGGGUAGGUAAACGGUAACCGGUCGGGGUCGGGAACCCUAACCGGUCCGGUCCGUUACGUAACGGGGAAGGGGUAAACUAAACCUUAACGUUAAAGUAAAAGGUUAGGGUCGUAACUUAAACCGUACCCGACUAAACGGUAACGGGAAGCCGCAUGGCUUUUCCUGAAAACUCCGGUGGUACAGGAUGGGCCCGCGUCUGAUUAGCCAGUUGGCAGGGUAACGGCCUACCAAAGCGACGAUCAGUGCCGGCCUGAGAGGGCGGACGGCCACACUGGGACUGAGACACGGCCCAGACUCCUACGGAAGGCAGCAG